UUCCCCCCCCCCCUAAGGCGACCGGCCACACUGGGAUUGAGACACGGCCCCAGAUUCUUACGGGAGGCAGCAGUGGGGAAUAUUGCACAAUGGGCGAAAGCCUGAUGCAGCGACGCCGCGUGAGGGAUGACGGCCUUCGGGUUGUAAACCUCUUUCAGCAGGGAAGAAGCGAAAGUGACGGUACCUGCAGAAGAAGCGCCGGCUAACUACGUGCCAGCAGCCGCGGUAAUACGUAGGGCGCAAGCGUUGUCCGGAAUUAUUGGGCGUAAAGAGCUCGUAGGCGGCUUGUCACGUCGGUUGUGAAAGCCCGGGGCUUAACCCCGGGUCUGCAGUCGAUACGGGCAGGCUAGAGUUCGGUAGGGGAGAUCGGAAUUCCUGGUGUAGCGGUGAAAUGCGCAGAUAUCAGGAGGAACACCGGUGGCGAAGGCGGAUCUCUGGGCCGAUACUGACGCUGAGGAGCGAAAGCGUGGGGAGCGAACAGGAUUAGAUACCCUGGUAGUCCACGCCGUAAACGGUGGGCACUAGGUGUGGGCAACAUUCCACGUUGUCCGUGCCGCAGCUAACGCAUUAAGUGCCCCGCCUGGGGAGUACGGCCGCAAGGCUAAAACUCAAAGGAAUUGACGGGGGCCCGCACAAGCGGCGGAGCAUGUGGCUUAAUUCGACGCAACGCGAAGAACCUUACCAAGGCUUGACAUACACCGGAAAACCCUGGAGACAGGGUCCCCCUUGUGGUCGGUGUACAGGUGGUGCAUGGCUGUCGUCAGCUCGUGUCGUGAGAUGUUGGGUUAAGUCCCGCAACGAGCGCAACCCUUGUCCCGUGUUGCCAGCAGGCCCUUGUGGUGCUGGGGACUCACGGGAGACCGCCGGGGUCAACUCGGAGGAAGGUGGGGACGACGUCAAGUCAUCAUGCCCCUUAUGUCUUGGGCUGCACACGUGCUACAAUGGCCGGUACAAUGUGUUGCCGGCCUGAGAGGGGGAGCCAAUCCCAUAAAGCCAGUCGUCAGUCCGGAUCGCAGUUCUGCAAUUGGCCCGAUGCCC
rnacentral:rRNA from 1 species